AGCCUGAACGCUGGCGGCGUGGUUAAGACAUGCAAGUCGUACGGGUGUAGCAAUACACCAGUGGCGGACGGGUGAGUAAUGUAUCGCUAACGUACCCCAAGGUCUGGGAUAGCUGCCCGAAAGGGCAGGUAAUACCAGAUGACAUAUUCCUUUCGCAUGAUUGGAAUCUCAAAGGGCAACC
rnacentral:rRNA from 1 species